AUUAAUCAUUUACUGAAUUUCUUUGUAGAAUAUGUUACUAUUAUUUGGGUUUUUGUUCUCUGCAUAACUGUCUCUUUCACCUAUAUUAAUUCCUCAGCAUUCAAGAUGUUUGUAGGGUCCUCACCUCAGCUGCUACCUCUCACAAGGUGCCCCUGAAAAAGAAAUUCAAGACGUUUGGGUCCUCAGCUCAACUGACCAAGACCUUUGCUCAUUGAAGGCAUGAAGUAAUUUGUGAUGCCCCCACGAUUGCAGUUUUUAAAUCCAGAUGGCUUGCUCUUUUUAACAUGUGCGAGAGCUGGAUGGUCUUUCAACAACACUGCUCCGGGUCUUCAGCAAGAAAGGUGCUUCUCAUGCAAGGAAGAUACAGAGGAUCCUGGUGCCCAUGACUCAGACUGACAACAUUGAUGUGAAGAGGGAGUGCAUGCUGAGGAGCUGACGGUCUACCUGAAUGAAGAGCCAGACAAAGUGGAUGUUGAUCUGGACGGUCCAGCUGAAACGUAUUGUCUUCGUGUGCGUGUGAUCGGCAGAGAGUCCUCAACGACAUUGGUAACGUACCUGUGGCCAUUGCAGUGUUUGUUUUGGUUUAUGCUCUAAAUCUCUGUUACCUUCCAGAAUGGAAGUACACUUUCAAAUUUCUGUUUCCUUCUAACCGUCUGUUUCAUUAGUUUUUGCAUUGCUUUUAAAUGUACACUGUGUACGAUUCUUAGUUGUUUAUUUCCAGAAUUCAUGCUACCCAUUCACUAAUGUUACCUUUUUCAUGAAUACUUAGCACCACUAGGGUG